rnacentral:rRNA from 1 species
UACGAAGGGGGCGAGCGUUGUUCGGAUUUACUGGGCGUAAAGGGCGCGUAGGCGGCGGGUCAAGUCGGGUGUGAAAGCCCCGGGCUCAACCUGGGAGGUGCGUUCGAGACUAGUCUGCUAGAGUUCGGGAGAGGAGCGUGGAAUUCCCAGUGUAGAGGUGAAAUUCGUAGAUAUUGGGAAGAACACCGGUGGCGAAGGCGGCGCUCUGGACCGAGACUGACGCUGAGGCGCGAAAGCGUGGGGAGCAAACAGG